UCAUCUGAAGACUAAAGAAAAAGAAAAGAGAAAGAGAAUAUCAUCAUGUUCAGCAGAAACAGUGGAGAGCAAACACUUAAACAGUUCAGAUCCAUCAAGGAUGACACUCAAACAACUGCAGAUGAAGAUUUAAUGUCAGAAUGCAGCUCAGUUCAUCAUAAGAGAUCAGAAGCAGAGCCCAGCUGUGUGUCUAUGAAGAGUGACACAUCUAUAUGUCCACCAAUAGAAUUUAAGAGAGGAGAUACACAACAUGGUCUCAG